rnacentral:rRNA from 1 species
UACAGAGGUGGCAAGCGUUGUUCGGAAUUACUGGGCGUAAAGGGCUCGUAGGCGGCCAACUAAGUCAGACGUGAAAUCCCCAGGCUCAACCUGGGAAUUGCGUCUGAUACUGGAUGGCUUGAAUUCGGGAGAGGGAUGCAGAAUUCCAGGUGUAGCGGUGAAAUGCGUAGAUAUUGGGAAGAACACCAGUGGCGAAAGCGGACUUCUGGGUUGUUACUGACGCUGAGGUACGAAAGCGUGGGGAGCAAACGGG